CGCGCGCGGGGGGCGGGGCCGGGGGCCGCCCCCGGAGCUGGGCUGGGAGCGGCAGGGCCGCGAGCUGGACGGGGACAGCGACAUGGCCCAGGUGGCACUGCCCCAGGGCGGCUGGGUGGCCACCAGCCAGCUCAGGCUGUUCCCGGUGUCGGGGGCGGACGCGGGGCGCUACCGGUGCUGGCGCGCGCCGGGGGAGGGGCGCGGCUGCUGUCCCGCGAGGCCACGCUGGAGCUGG